GAAGAUGAUGCUUGUUAUUGUUAUUGUUGAUUCUUAUUGUUGUUGAUGCUUAUGUAUUUGUUGUGAUUUAUGCUUAUUUGUUUUUGUUGAUGCUUAAUGUUGUUGGUGAUGCUUAUUGUUGUUGUUGAUGUUCAUUGUUGUUGUUGAAGGCGAUGCUUAUUAGUUGUUGAUACUUAUUGUUGUUAUUGCUUCUUGUUGUUGAACAUUAUGUUUGUUAUUGUUG
rnacentral:lncRNA from 1 species